CAAGAGUUCCACAACCGGUGUGUCCUUGAGUGGAGGAAGCUGGAGGUUAAGUGGAGCACACGAGUGAUAUGAUGGUCAACAUCGAGCCAACCUUCUUUGCACUGCUAGACAUGGCUUAUUAGAUUUUGAUAUGAAGUGUGUUUGAUACCUUAUGUGUGAGUUGUGUGUGUGUCUAAGCCAAAUAUGAGAUGAUUUGUACAUAGCAUAUUUUGCAUUAAUGUUUGUCUAAAUGCUUUAUUGAC